rnacentral:tRNA from 1 species
GCCUGGGUGGCUCAGUCGGUUAAGCGUCUGACUUCAGCUCAGGUCACGAUCUCACGGUUCAUGGGUUCAAGCCCCGCGUCGGGCU